AUGCGAUAAGUAGUGUGAAUUGCAGAAUUCAGUGAAUCAUCGAAUCUUUGAACGCACAUUGCGCCCCUUGGUAUUCCAUGGGGCAUGCCUGUUCGAGCGUCAUUUGUACCCUCAAGCUUUGCUUGGUGUUGGGCGUCUUGUCGUAUUACGACUCGCCUUAAAUACAUUGGCAGCCGGCACUUUGGCCUAGGAGCGCAGCACAUUUUGCGAUCGUAGCCCGUUGUACUGGCGUCCAUCAAGAACAUUUACCACGUUUGACCUCGGAUCAGGUAGGGAUACCCGCUGAACUUAA
rnacentral:misc_RNA from 1 species